rnacentral:rRNA from 1 species
AGCGAACGUUUGCGGCGGGCCUAACACAUGCAAGUCGAACGCACUAGCAAUAGUGAGUGGCGCACGGGUGCGUAACACGUGGGUAAUCAACCCUUCAGCUUGGGAUAACGACUUGAAAGGGUCGCUAAUACCGGAUACGGCGCGGGAGGCUUCGGCUUCUCACGAGAAAGCCUCGCAAGGGGCACUGAAGGACGAGCCUGCGGCCCAUCAGCUAGUUGGUGAGGUAAGAGCUCACCAAGGCGAAGACGGGUAGCUGGUCUGAGAGGAUGAUCAGCCACACUGGAACUGAGACACGGUCCAGACUCCUACGGGAGGCAGCAGUGGGGAAUAUUGCGCAAUGGGCGAAAGCCUGACGCAGCCACGCCGCGUGAGCGAUGAAGGCCUUCGGGUCGUAAAGCUCUGUGGGGAGAGACGAAGAAAGCCCGUGAAGAGCGGGCCUUGACGGUAGUCUCCUUAGCAAGCACCGGCUAACUCCGUGCCAGCAGCCGCGGUAA